rnacentral:rRNA from 1 species
AUGAACGCUGGCGGCGUGCCUAAUACAUGCAAGUCGAGCGAACGGACGAGAAGCUUGCUUCUCUGAUGUUAGCGGCGGACGGGUGAGUAACACGUGGAUAACCUACCUAUAAGACUGGGAUAACUUCGGGAAACCGGAGCUAAUACCGGAUAAUAUUUUGAACCGCAUGGUUCAAAAGUGAAAGACGGUCUUGCUGUCACUUAUAGAUGGAUCCGCGCUGCAUUAGCUAGUUGGUAAGGUAACGGCUUACCAAGGCAACGAUGCAUAGCCGACCUGAGGGUGAUCGGCCACACUGGAACUGAGACACGGUCCAGACUCCUACGGGAGGCAGCAGUAGGGAAUCUUCCGCAAUGGGCGAAAGCCUGACGGAGCAACGCCGCGUGAGUGAUGAAGGUCUUCGGAUCGUAAAACUCUGUUAUUAGGGAAGAACAUAUGUGUAAGUAACUGUGCACAUCUUGACGGUACCUAAUCAGAAAGCCACGGCUAACUACGUG